ensembl:lncRNA
AUCCAGCAGCGGACCGCAAAGGGGCCAGCGAUUGGUUCUGGGAUGUGAGGGGCAGGGUCAAGGGCCUUUCUGGGUGAUGAUUGGUCACCGAGAGAGCUAAAAGUAAGCAUUUCCGGGGUACAGAAUGGCUUCGGAUGGAUCCUCCUAGGCUCCGCCUCCCUUUUCAAGUACCUAGUUCCGAUUGGCAAUCUUUUGGGGGCCGGCAAGAUGAUUGCAGAGCUGGAGUUCAGGCAGAGGGCCAGCUAUGGCAUAUCGAGACAUAACUCCAUUUUGGCCUCUGGUCACAGCUACAACCUCAGUGGUCCCGUGAUGCUGUGAUGCUCCAGGACAAGAUUACACCAGCUGAAGACAUCCUGGGAGGAACAAAAUCUUCAUCUGCAUAGUUCCUCAUUGAUCUAGGAUAUCUGCCGCCUGCCUCGCAAGUGCAAGGUCCUGAGUUCGAUCCCUGUUACCAAAAAAAAAAGUUCUUUACAUUUUCAGAUCUCCCCAUGUUGUGUCUUACUUUUGGGGAAGAGAAUAGGAGGAGGAAGGAGCAAAAACAGUGUCUCAUUGGAGUCCCCAAAGGAUGGAACUCAGGAUCUUGCGCUUGCAAGGUGGGCGCUGGAACUACUGAGCUAAAUCCCCAGCCCUGUUUUGAUGUUUUAGAGUGGACAUGCUAUUGGAUCCCAUGUGUGAGAACUCGGAGUGAAUUGCCCCCUCCCUCUGAGAGUCUCUCUGCUUCCUGACUGUCAUGUAAACAGCUUUCCUCUGUCCAGGGCCUUCUACCACACCAUUGAAGCCAGGCCAUGGACUGAAACUUCUAAAACUGCAAAUCAAAAUAAACCUCUCCUCUUUUAAGGUGUGGGUGUCAAGUAUUGUGUCUCAGUCACAAGGAAAGUAACUAAGACAGAUGGGGAUAAAUCAUAUUCUAACUGCAGCACUCUGAAAUUAGUUACUAAAACGGACCACAACCUUGUGAAUAGAUAAAAAACAUUGACCUGUACAAGUCAAGAGAUGAACAUUACGGUGUUUGAGUUAUAAUUCAAUAAAG